CCCUUCCUCUUCCUCUCCAUCGUGCCAGACCGCCGGCCCUAACCGCCGCCGGCGCCGCCCCUCCCCGCCCCCCUCACCUCAGCGCCCCUCCCCUCUGGAUCCGGCGAGAACGCGACUCGCAGCACAGGCCGCGCCGGCCGGCCUGUCUCGCGGAGCGGCGGCUCCUCCCCUCCGGAUCCGGUGAGGGCCGCGGCGGCGGGGGCGGCGGCUGGGCGAGCAGCGGGGGCCGCUGCUGCAGGACCGGCGGGGCACCCCCCCAUCUUGUCUUCCUGUGCGGGUGCCCCUUCUCUCCCUCGCCUCACUCCUCCGUUGGCGCUGGUGAAGCGGCGGGACGCCGGCCUGCCGGCCCCUUCCCUCCAGAUUUGAUGGUUCGACCUCCACGCCUCCUCGCUAAUCUGGAUAGGAAGGAUGGCCAUGCUCCUAUGCUGAAGAAGGGAGAACUGCUCGUGCGAAUGAGCUUAGCCAGAUCCUUGCGUGAAUUAAGGUAGUGCUCCUCUUCGGCUCUUCCUGUCCUUUUUCUCUUACUGAAUCAUCAGUUGUGUAUAGAAUUAAAAUAAGCUAUACUGUUAGUACAAAAUAUGGCAAGGUUGUCCAUACAUUUAGCAGGGAGAUUUUUUAUUUGGGUUGUUUUCCUAAUCUGAACUAUUGUUGUGUCUAUUACUGAGAUAAUAGGAGGAUGUAUUAGACUAUGCACCCGUUCUAGAGGUAAGACCAGAGGUCUGUGCAAUUGCCCUUUUUUUCUUAUUGAAUCCUCAAUCAUGUAUAAAAAUAAAACAAGGUUUUAACUGUAAUAGAAAAUGUUUUUUUGCAGGAGAACACCUCUUGCGUUUUGUGUGGGAGAACACCCGUUGCCCCAAAUCUCUGGGGAAGUCAGCGAAUCCUCGAAGCAAGAGGUACAGUACUGGUGUAUUAGAUUUGGAGGAGCAUAUGGGUAGUCAAAGCUUUCAACAUCUUGCACGCUAAUGAACUUGCCGGUGAUUUAAGAAGCAUUGUGCUACAAGAAAAGCAAAUGCAUCUGCCUCAGUACGAAUUUUGUUAUCAGGUACUCCUCUCACCACCUCCCACCGAUGCAUGCCAAGUGCUUGAUAAAAUUACUGGAUGAUAGGAUUGUACUUUGAUUGUCAGAUUCUGGAUGAAAUUACCCAUGAACAAAUUGUCUUUGAUUGGUUUUGAGAGAACAGUAAAUUUGCACCACUGCUAGAGGUGAAGUUUAAGCUUCUUAAUAAUCAGUUUAUGUAUGCAGUUAUAUUAUAUUAGAACAUAUUAUUGCAUUGAAUAGCUUUGUGUUCUUUUCAGUAAUGCAAUGAUGGUCCGCAUAAUGAAAGAAUAGAUUAGGCUAUCCAUGUUCUUUUCGGUAAUUGUCUUUGCUAAACAUUUUUGUGUGGAUUAGUUGUGUAUUUCCAUGUGCAGCUUACCGAGAAGCGAUGCGUCUGGGCAGGAAGUCCCCCGAUGAUGUGGUGCUCAACAACAUGUCUUCCAGGAGUCAUGCACGCUUUUUUGCCGACCCAAGACCAAUCCUGCCUGCCUCUACCUGCCAUUCAGAUUGGUUAUCCCAUCCCAUAUAUUUCAUAUUUCCUCUUUGAUGUCCACCGUUGUCUGUGGUGAUCUACCUAAGGCUCUAAGCACUCAAGGCAAGAGAGGUUGGGCUACCAUAUUUUCACUUCAGAAUAAAUCAGGUUAGUGGGUUGUAUUUCGAUUUUCUCAUUGUGCUCUAAUUUAAUAUGCAUAAUAGGUCUCCAAAUUUUCACUUCUGAAUCUUUGAGGCGCAUUGGCUUUUCCAGGCUUUUAUGUGUAAUUGGACUGAGAUGUAGUAAAUUGUUGAUUUUGUGCUAGAAACACAUGGCAAAGACUGAAGAGGAAAUGAGUAGAGCAGUAAUAUUGCUAGAUUUAGUCAUGAUAUAUAUUUAAAUACUUCACAGGCAGUUCUCUGAAUUAUUCUUUCCUUGACAUCGUAUGGUAAAACUUAUCACAUGUUGUGCUCACUAUUUGAACAAGUGGUUCCAGUACAUGUGUUGUUUCCCGUGGCCCAAACCCUAAAACUACCCACAUUUUUGGAGAUCAUGUUUUUAAGCUUCAAGCUGAGCACCUGAUGCCUGGUGAAAGUAAGGAUAAAGAGAACAUGCCUCCUCUUGUGAAAGAGGGUGCCAUGAGAUUCUGUACUUUUUGCAGUGAGAAGCUGAAAUAAGGGAGAGAUAUCUACAUCUAUCAGUAUCCUGUGUUUCAUAAAUUACAGGGGUGACAAAGCCUUUUGCAGCACAGAGUGCAGGGAGAAUUUCAUGGAAAAUGAGAUGGAAGAAGGUGAACCCAUGAUAUAUCAUCCUGCACCUCCGAGCAGCUCACCUUUGGACAAUGGUCCUAUUUUCCAACUGAUCCGUUGAGUGAAAAUUAGCAACAACUUGAUAUGGUCGUAUCUGAAGUGCUGUCUGAGGUUAAUAAGUUGCAGCCAUGGAUGUGAUCAUGUUUGCGGAGUUGUUGCCUGAAGAUUUUGUUUGUGCGGCUUACCUCACCUAUUGAUUUCUUUGUUUUGCGUACUAGGAUCCUCAAAUUUUUUGGAGGACUUGAAGAAUGACUACAUCUCUGGUCAUAUUAUUAUCUUGAUCGGAGAGGGGCGUGUGCGUAUGCGUGUCUGAACUUGAGUUUGGCUGUUUGGACCUCAUUUUCAGUGGCUGUCGGAUGUUCGACGCUUCUGUUACUAUCAUGUAUCUGAACCUAUGUUUUCAGUAUGUAUUUCGGAAAGGAAAUGGUAAACUGUGAUAUCAAUAAAUAGUCUGCAAUUUAUCCGUGGCGUUA